rnacentral:rRNA from 1 species
CCUACGGGAGGCAGCAGUCGGGAAUAUUGGGCAAUGGGCGCAAGCCUGACGCAGCAACGCCGCGUGAAGGAAGAAGGCUUUCGGGUUGUAAACUUCUUUUAUCAGGGACGCAGCAAGUGACGGUACCUGAUGAAUAAGCCACGGCUAACUACGUGCCAGCAGCCGCGGUAAUACGUAGGUGGCAAGCGUUAUCCGGAUUUACUGGGUGUAAAGGGCGUGUAGGCGGGAAAGCAAGUCAGAUGUGAAAACCAUGGGCUCAACCUGUGGCCUGCAUUUGAAACUGUUUGUCUUGAGUACUGGAGAGGCAGACGGAAUUCCUGGUGUAGCAGUGAAAUGCGUAGAUAUUAGGAGGAACACCAGUGGCGAAGGCGGUCUGCUGGACAGCAACUGACGCUGAGGCGCGAAAGCGUGGGGAGCAAACAGGAUUAGAUACCCUAGUAGUC